GUUUUAGGUAAGAAAUCAAAUCAAAUGAAAAACACAGCACUGUAAUUAGAGUGUUUCAUACUGUACUUAAGUCUAGUUUACCAAAGAAGCAAAGUAAAAGCAGCAUGCUGGGCUGGUUUGAGCACUGAUCAGGUGCACUGUGACCCAGACUUCAGAGGCUUACUUUGGUGGAGGAACAAAGUUAACUGUUUUAGGUAAGAAA